AGCAGCGUGGCUCAGUGGAAAGAGCCUGGGCUUUGGAGUCAGAGGUCAUGGGUUCAACUCCCGGCUCUGCCA
rnacentral:tRNA from 1 species